GUGCCAGCCGCCGCGGUACUACGGAGGGGGUUAGCGUUGUUCGGAAUUACUGGGCGUAAAGCGCACGUAGGCGGAUUGGAAAGCUGGGGGUGAAAUCCCGGGGCUCAACCUCGGAACUGCCUCCAAAACUAUCAGUCUAGAGUUCGAGAGAGGUGAGUGGAAUUCCGAGUGUAGAGGUGAAAUUCGUAGAUAUUCGGAAGAACACCAGUGGCGAAGGCGGCUCACUGGCUCGAUACUGACGCUGAGGUGCGAAAGUGUGGGUAGCGAACAGGAUUAGAAACCCCGGUAGUCC
rnacentral:rRNA from 1 species